rnacentral:misc_RNA from 1 species
GAUGAAGAACGUAGCGAAAUGCGAUACUUGGUGUGAAUUGCAGAAUCCCGCGAAUCAUCGAGUUUUUGAACGCAAGUUGCGCCCGAAGCCAUUCGGCCGAGGGCACGUCUGCCUGGGUGUCACGCAUCGUUGCCCCCCCAAACUUCGGUUCGGGCGGGGCAGAAGUUGGCCUCCCGUGCGUGCCUGCGCGUGCGGUUAGCCCAAAAGCGAGUCCUCGACGACGAGCGCCACGAAAAUCGGAGGUUUUUUUGCCCUCGUUCCUCGUCGUGCGUGCCCCGUCGCCCGAACGCGCUCUUGCGACCCUCACGCGUCGCCUCGGUGGCGCUCCCAACGCGACCCCAGGUCAGGCGGGACUACCCGCUGAGUUUAAGCAUAUCAAUAAGCGGAGGA